rnacentral:tRNA from 1 species
UCCCGCAGAUAGCUGCCAGAUAUAGACUGUUAAUCAAUUGGUCGUAGGUUCGAUCCCUACCGCCGGAGCCA